rnacentral:RNase_P_RNA from 1 species
ACAGCAGGUCAUCUUAUCGCGGUUUGUAUUUUGCAAAACGAGGAAAGUCCGGACACCAUAGUGCAACAUAGCGGGUAAUACCCGUCACUCUAGUUCGCUGGAGGAGGACAAGUGCAACAGAAAGCAGGUACAGGUAAUGCUGUAGUGAAACCAGGUAAACUCUAUGUGGUGAAACGCCAUGUAUAUCAGCUUUAAGAGCUGCACGCUCGUGCUGAAGGGUAGGCGGUUUGAGCUUUUAGGUAACUAAAAGUCUAGAUAAAUGAUAAGAAUUCUGAAGUGAUUUCGGAAGACAGAAUCCGGCUUACGACCUGCUUUUUUA